CUCCUCCUUCCGUGCUCAUAUGGUCAGCGCGAUCUUAAAGGAUCCAUGUUGUCUGACCUAUACUUCUAUGAUUGAGUGUAUAGUCGCAAAAGAUGAUGUCUGAAUGUUAUAGGAUUUUGCAAUUGUUACUGGUACUGUACAGUGUGUUUAUAUAUUAUUGUGCAAUUGUGAAUGGUACUGGGCAAUUUGUAUAUAUAUGAAUGUGAAUGUACAAUUGUGCACACUGUGAGUGGUCGUUCACAGAUAUUUCAUAUAUGAUUGUGAAUGUGCAAUUGUGAAUUUGUGACUGGUAAUCUUGUAUUCUGCUUAAUCAUAUUGUUGAUGUAUUUUGUGUAAUGUGAGUUGUUGAUAAGAGUCUAGUAAAUUUAUCCUAUUGAUGUAAUGUGUCAAUUUACCGUGAUGUCAUUUUCUCCGAUUUUAUCAUAGAUGAGAUGUUAUCCAAAUUAUAUUAUAUUUGCAAAAUAAUUUUAUGAGAGUUAUCGUAUCGGAGAUAGACAUUCAGAAAGUGCAAUGGCGCACCUGUUGAGAUUGAUGAUGUCCCUGCGCCGGUUGAGGAGGCGCAGGUAAGUAUUGAGUGUCGUCGCAACUACAAUAGCAACAAAAGGGUCAGUUUCACCUUCAGUUAGCGCUCAAGUCUAUUUUAAUCACUUAUUUGGAGGCCCGACGCGCGACGAGGUUAGUGCUGCCAUAUAGAAGUGGACAUAUGUAUCUAGCUGGCAUAUAGGGGAGUGGUUUAGCACUACCGAUUUUCUGGGGUGUGGUAUAAUGUUGCAUUUUAAGUUAUAACCGCACAACCCAAGGCUACCAUAUAGAAGUAGAUAGAUAGAAGUGGCAGGUAUAUGGGUGUACUUUUUAGCCCUACAGAUGUUCCGAGGAGUGGUAUAACUGUUCUAUUUUAAGCUAUAACAGCACAAGUAAAGGGUACCAUAUAGAAGUGGACAUAUAGAUAUGGCAGGUAUUUGAGUGUGCUCUUUAGCCCUACAGAUGUUUCGGGGUGUGGUAUAACUGUUCCAUUUUAAGCUGUAACCGCAAAACCCAAGGCUACCAUAUAAAAAUAGAUAGAUAAAAGUGGCAGGCAUAUGGGUGUACUCUUUAACACUACAGAUGUUCCGAGGAGUGGUAUAACUGUUCUAUUUUAAGCUAUAACAGCACAAGCAAGGGUACCAUAUAGAAAUGGACAUAUAGAUGUGGGAGGUAUUUGAGUGUGCUUUUUAGCCCUACAGAUGUUUCGGGGUGUGGUAUAACUGUUCCAUUUUAAGCUAUAACUGCACAACCCAAGGCUACCAUAUAGAAGUAGAUAGAUAAAAGUGGCAGGUAUAUGGGUGUACUCUUUAGCCCUACAGAUGUUCCGGGGUGUCGUAUAACUGUUCCAUUUUAAGCUAUAACCGCACAACCCAAGGCUACCAUAUAGAAGUAGAUAGAUAAAGGUGACAGGUAUAUGGGUGUACUCUUUAACACUACAGAUGUUCCGAGGAGUGGUAUAACUGUUCUAUUUUAAGCUAUAACAGCACAACUAAAGGGUACCAUAUAGAAGUGGACAUAUAGAUGUGGCAGGUAUUUGAGUGUGCUCUUUAGCCCUAUAGAUGUUUCGUGGGAUGGUAUAACUAUUCUAUUUUAAGCUACAACUGAAAAAAUAAAGCCUACCACAGAAAAUAUUAUAUAGAUGUGAAAGGUCUAUGGGACUGCUCUUUAGCCGCACAAAUGUUCCGCAGAGUGGUAUAACAGUUCUAUUUGGAACUAUAACCGCACAUUACAUAUAGAAGUGGAUUAACAUUAGAAUAAAAUUUAUCUUUACGCCAUAAGUUGUAAUACAAUAUUAAAAUAAAAUGUAGAAUUUAAAGCAACAAAACCAUAUGGCAUCAGGACCAUUGAUAUAAUAUAAAGUCUACCACAAAAUACUACAAUAGGUUAUAUUUGUACAACACAACGACUAACAUAACAACACUAUAUAAAAAUUAUUACAGCUUGCAUGAUACAGGGUGGUCAUGUACCCUUGCCACACAAGUUAUAGCAGGAUGACCACAUUAUCCCACUGACUAUCCCAUACAUGACAAAAACAGCCCAUUUCCAUCUUUUUCUUUUUGCUGCAACUGCGGCUUCUUCCCGCAACUUAUUAUUGCUUUCUAGUAAACCAUUAACCACUGAGAUACUCCGGCUCGUAAAUUGUGGGUCGUACCACCCAAAAUAAUUACAUGCGUUACUCCCCUGCAUCUGAAAGAUAAUAUAAAUUACACAUCAAAUAAUGUCAAUAUAUGAAUCAACAAGUUUAUAGUAGCCAGCUUUACCCUAUAUCUUGAACAGCCAUAAAAUCUCCGACCCGGAUUAUUUUGUGUCCAAGAGGUCUUAAUCGUACAGGGCAAUCCACAGUGGCAGAGCGGUGUGGAUUGGUUGCUUCGACUGCUCGAAGUUGUAAAGCUUGAAUCCAUCUAACUUAUAAUAUUAUAACAAUAAGAAAUACGUACAAACCGACGCAAUAUUACGACAGAUAGUAAGCACAAAUAUUGAUUAUAAAUAUGGCACACACCAUCAAAUAAUUAAAAAACCUUAAAUGC
rnacentral:lncRNA from 1 species